UGCCCAGAAACCCUCAUCCCUACUUCCUCGCGGUACUGGCCGGGUACAAGUAACCUGAGGGAAGAUCGGGUAACCAACCUCGGUGGGAACUCUGGUCGUAUGCUGGCAGGGAAGG
rnacentral:ribozyme from 1 species